UACGUAGGGUGCAAGCGUUAAUCGGAAUUACUGGGCGUAAAGCGUGCGCAGGCGGUGAUGUAAGACAGGUGUGAAAUCCCCGGGCUCAACUUGGGAACUGCAUUUGUGACUGCAUCGCUGGAGUGCGGCAGAGGGGGAUGGAAUUCCGCGUGUAGCAGUGAAAUGCGUAGAUAUGCGGAGGAACACCGAUGGCGAAGGCAAUCCCCUGGGCCGGCACUGACGCUCAUGCACGAAAGCGUGGGGAGCAAACAGG
rnacentral:rRNA from 1 species